rnacentral:lncRNA from 1 species
AGGUAGUUGGCGGCUGGAGACGCUCUCGAAAGAGAGAGAGAUGCGAAUGAACGAAAAUGAAGAAGUGGCAUUGUGUUUCGAUCCUCUCACGAGAAAAACAAUCUCGCGUGGCAGUGGUGCUGAUGACACAGCGAGAAUGAACGCGUGCCAAGCAGGGAAUGGUGAGGUGAUGUUACAGAGGAAAGAGAAUCUAAAGUGGGAAAAUGAAAUAGAAUGGCAAGGUGAAUGAAAGGUGGCUGAGGAAUCCAAUCCCUUGGAUUCUUUAGCCUUGACUUUUAAGGGGACUAAAUCUGGAGUUAUCUCAAUAGAAAUUUAAUCCAAUAUCUCAAAAGUGAAUACAAGAAGUGUAGGCAUGGCUAUUUAUAGGACUAGAAGUCCCACAUGCCUAUCACAAUACAAGGUACAUAAAAGAAAUGCUAGACUAAAGAAAUUGGGCUUGGGCCCCGCGUAUCAUCCCCUUCCCCUUGGAAAGGAUUUGUCCUCAAAUCUGAUGGUUCGCCUGAGGACUUAUUUUUGUAGACUUUAUAGAAGUUCCUCCUAGGUCAAAGAUUAAUCUGCAAUAAGCAUCAAACAUUUCUCCAAUUAGCUUUAUUUGACCCAAUAAGAUAUAUAGAGGAAUAUGUCUAGAAGAAGGUUUCCUAACUUUGAAAUUUUCAAAUUCAUGAUUAUAAAGAAACCUUACUUCAUUUCUAUCUUGAAUUAAUGAUAACUUGAAAGAUAACUUUAACUCAAGAUUCUGAUUUCCAUGUGUUAAAAUUUGUAACUUGUGAAAAGAUGAAUUUGAAACAUUUAAUAUCAAAUGGAAAAAAGUGAAAGGAUAGAAAACCUCCCCUUAAAAGUUUGGGUUCUAGAGUAGGAAAUAUUGCCAUCAAUUUCUUUUCUUCUAUUUUCUUCCUUUCAAUUUCUUCCUUCUCUUUCUUUUGUCGCUCUCUUCUUUCUUCCUCUUCCUUUCUUGCUUUUUCUCUUCUUAUUCUCUCUUUUUCUUCCUCUUUUAUCCUUGCUUGCUCUCUUCUCCUCUCCUUUUCUCUUCUCAAUUAUUCUCUUCUCACUCUUUCUUGUAGUUGCCUAUGUUCUCUCUCAAGGUCUCUUUUACUUCCCUCAUUCAAGAACUUCAUAAGUUUAUCUCUAAAUUCUCUUUCCCGGCAAGAAAACUCACUUAUAUUUUGAAUGAAUGCUUUACCCUUUUUAAUGAGUUCUCUUAAAAGCUCUUGAUUUCUCUGAUUCUGUUGUAUGACUCUAAGUUCUUGGAUGAUGGAGGUUUGCACCUCCCUUUUAAAAGUAUAGUUGACUCACACAUCAAAUACAAUCGGACUCUAAGCGGACUCUAAUAAAUCCUACGCCCCU